CUUGCCUUAAACGAUGCAUACUAGGUGUAGGGGGGCUCAACCCUUUCUGUACCGGAGCUAACGCAUUAAGUAUGCCGCCUGGGGANGCAACGCGAAGAACCUUACCUGGGCUCGAAAUGUAGAGGACGACAUCAGAGAUGAUGUUUCUCGAAAGGGUCUUUACAUAGGUGC
rnacentral:rRNA from 1 species